GAUUGCCACCACCCUUGUGGCCCUCCUCCCAGGGGCUGACUACUUUAGUUGCUGCUCAGAGACUGGGAGUCCAGACUGCACUGGGAAGGGCAGUGAGAGCAGAGCAAAAGCUCAGGAUCAAGAUCCAAACCAGAGUGUAUCAUCUAUCCUCAACUGGUAUUGGAGAAGGUGGGAAGCUUCCCUGUACUCCUGCCUUCAGAACAGCAUCCAUAAACUUCUAAGAAAGAAAUAGCAUCCAUUCCAAGCAAUAAAAGGAGCUUUACAGCUUCAGUGUAUAUUUCUUUUUUGCUCACUGACAGGAGGUAAAGGACAGACAGUUGCCCGGGAAGGUUCCCUCAAGUUUCCUUCUGAUUCAUCUUGAACAUGGAGAGAUCCACGAGGGAACUGUUUCUCAACUUUACUGUGGUCCUAAUAACUGUGAUCCUCAUAUGGCUGCUAGUGAGAUCAUAUCAAUACUAAGAAGUUGAAGCUGGAGAUCCUGCCCUUGAUGAGCACAGAGGAAUCCUUAAGAACAUGGGAGCUUUCCUGGGCUGCAGUAUGCCUAGGGAUGCCUUUGCCUGCAAUUACCUAUGUUUGGAUGUAGCUAGGGUAGGAUGAGGGUUUUAUCUUUGCAGAAUCAUCUCUGUCCUGUGCCAAAUCUGUGUUUUAGGGCUUUGAGUCUGUGAUCCCAUGCUUCUAUGAUAUGUGGCAAUGUGAUUUUAUGUUUUUCCAAAAUUUCUUCGGCAAAAGUUGCUUUCAAGUGAGCAUUGGAUAUGUUAUCUGACACUAUAGAUAUUAAUAAUAAAAAAAAUCACUUGUUUGAAAUGGGGAUCUUUGUGAAACAGGAUUGUACAAUGUGCCCUCUCCAUCCCUCCACAGCUCCCUAUUUGUCAGCCCCUCUGCCAGCCUCUAUCCCCAUUGUUGUUUCAAGAGUAAAUUAAAAAUCAGCUCUUUGGUAGAAAAUGUGAUGUAAUUAGUCACUAUGGCUGUCAUUUAAAUAAAAAAAUUUAAACCUCAAAAAACAUCAUUUGGAAUUCUCUUUCCUCUCUACUAACAUCAUCUCUUUUGACUACAACCU
rnacentral:lncRNA from 1 species